CGGUAACUGAAAUCCGAGCUAGCUAUUUUUUCGAACGGUCAAUUUUUUUCCGUUUCUAUCGUCUCUCCCGCGAUACGCGUUUCAUUUUCUAUUUAUUGUACUUUUUCCGACUCAAGUUUGACGCCGUCUUUUAAUCCGUCAAAUCUCUUUCUCUUCUUUCUCCCGAUCUUCCAUCGGAGAGAAAAUCUAGGUCCUAACGAUUUCUAAUGGAAAUCUAGAAACUUCUCAAAAUUCACGUACAGUUCCGACGGAGUAGAUGGAUCGACGGAGGACGGAAAGUCCGGUGUACGCUCGGCAGUGGAGUGGAGGAUCAAGUAGUACAGGUUCAUCGUCGCCGGCGGGAUCGCCGGCUCAUCCCCGUGCUCGAUUGCCUCCUACGGUAACAGGAAUGUCUACUAUAAAGAGGACUCAGAAUGUGGCCGCCAAAGCUGCUGCUCAGCGUUUGGCACAAGUUAUGGCUUCUUCUCAUAGGCCUGAUGAAGAAGAAGAUGAUGAUGAUCUAGGGUUUCGGCCUCCUACAGCUGCUUUCUCUACUAAUGACAAUCGGAGUAAUAGCAAUAGCAAGAACAGUGGUUUGACGGCUAUUUCACUAGCCAAACCCAAUAGAUCUCCUUCCCCCUCGUUAGGUCGAAAUUUUAUGGAUCACACUCCUUCUGUUCGUUCAUCGUCUACUGGAAGACCCUCCUCGAUGUCUGUUCGUACAUCAGCAGCAGCAACAACAACUGGAGCAAUACUGCAACCAAGUAGGUCAUCAGUGAGAACUCCAGUUACCAUACCACCAAUAGAACCUCCUAGUAAUCGCUUGAGAGAGAAAAGGUUCACACCAGAAUUAGGCCGAAUGGAUUUGAAGGAUUCUGGAAAUGAUCAUGAGACUUCUGCGCUUCGUGAUGAGCUUGAUAUGCUUCAAGAAGAAAAUGACAUUAUUUUAGAUAAGCUACGUCGUACAGAAGAACAACGUGAAGAAUCUGAAGCUAGGGUUCGUUUGUUGGAGAAACAGGUUGCUUCUCUUGGAGAAGGACUAUCACUUGAAGCUAAAUUAUUAACCAGGAAGCAAGAAGCACUUCGCCAGAGAGAGGCUGCUCUUAAAGCUGCACAACAAACUAAGGAUGGAAGAGAAGACGAAAUUACGAUACUUCGUACUGAGAUUGAAAACUUGAAGGAUGACACUGCAAAUGCAAUGGAACAGCUUCAGGAAGCUGAAGCUGAAGCCAAAGCUCUUCGAACAAUGACACAGAGAAUGAUUUUGACCCAUGAAGAGAUGGAGGAGGUGGUUCUAAAGAGAUGUUGGCUUUCUCGAUACUGGGGCCUAGCUGUACAAUAUGGUAUCUGUGCAGAUAUAGCAGGGACGAAGCAUGAACAUUGGUCAUCCUUUGCACCUCUUCCAUUUGAAGUUGUGAUUUCUGCUGGCCAGAAGGCCAGAGAGGAAUCCUGGAAUGGUGGCGAUGAUUCUGAUCGGAGCAAACGUGCCCGUGACAUUAGUGACUUAUCUGGAGAGGGAAAUAUUGAGAGUAUGCUGUCAGUUGAAAUGGCUCUAAGAGAAUUAGCUUCCCUCAAGGUAGAGGAUGCUGUUAUUCUUGCAUUGGCGCAGCAUCGGCGCUCAAAUGUAGUUCGGCAGUCCUCUGAUCCUAAAUCAUCUGUUGACCCCAAGUUGAUGGAUGCAUAUGGUUGUGUUUGGUAUAUAGGGCAUGCUUUGUUAAAACUGGAGGCUGUUGAUUUGCGAUGGUAUAAUCUGUACUUCUCUCUUGGGGUUCUUCACAAGGGUUUGAUCCUAGAGCUGUGUUUUUGGUUGCAGAGUUGGGGCAAGAGGAGUCGGAAGAUGUUCUUUUUAAGGAGGCUUGGCUUACAUACUUUUGGAGGAGAGCCAAAGUGCAUUGUGUAGAAGAGGAUAUUGCAGAAGAGAGACUUCAGGUCUGGAUAGGCCGUAGUGGACAGACACCAACCACUCAUGAUGCAGUUGAUGUUGAAAGAGGUUUGAUAGAAUUGAGGAAGCUGGGGAUAGAACAGCAGCUGUGGGAGGCAUCUCGUAAAGAGAUUGACCACCAACCUAAUAAUGGAAAAAUGAGUAGUGAUUCGGAGGCAUCUCCAUGAUGUACUUGUUUGAUGUCUAUUCUUUUACGGAUUGUAUUCUUCCCUUUUCCUUUUUCCUUUUGGGUUUACGAUUCAGAUAGAUAUUCUUUCUUCUUCAUCUUCUUCUUCUGAUUUAUUUCUUCCAGUCUGUUUUUCUGGAAUUUUGAAAUGGUAGAGCUUGAGAACAGGUAACUUGUAAUUAGUAGCUGUUUGUAUAAUCAAUUUGAGUGAUGCAAAAGUGAUAAUAGUCUGUGUCAAUGUUAUCUUUUGUUGAAUUA